GCCUAGCAACAAGCAGGCCGCGCAGGGAAAGCAGCCGAGCGGCCGAUCGAGCGAUCGAUCCCAGCCCCGGGCACGAGGAGGUGGCGGCAGACGAGAAAUUGAGAAUUAAUUAUGGGGAGUAACCAACAAAAUCCCAUAAGAAAGUUCUUCAAAUAUCACAAUGUAAAAAAAAAUCUGUUUGUCAAAUUGGGGAACCAGAGUGCCAUUCAAUUGUGUCAGGGAACCAUGCCAGCAACCUGGAAAGGCACCAGCAUGAGGAGUAAGAUGCACUUUCUUUAGGGAAAAAAAAAGAAUUGCAGAAUAAAAAUAAUAAAUGACUACAACAUGAACACAAUCCUGAUGAACCCACAUCUAAGAAGUCUAGUACAACAUAAGCUACUUUGGACUCCAUGUUCACAAAUAAGGCAAUUACAUGAACAAUUGAUGAAGCUACCUGACUGGAUAUUUGCCUAGGAUUAGUCACUAUAAAUGGAAGACCAUUUAAGACAAUGGAGGAUUCAAGAUUUCAUAAAAAUUCCAUUCUGGGAGGCCUGCAAAGAAAACUUACACUGACUGAUGAAAAUGUACUAGACAAAGUUGGCACUGUAGCUGGUACCAUUCAGGAGAAGAUAAAAAAAAUCAGGGAAAGACUAAUUUCUUUGAAAGUAGAUUGCGUCACAUGAUUUGACCGAAUUAGGAAUUAACAUUCAGUAUAUGGUUGCAGGAAAAAUUGCUCUUCAGAUUCAAGGAAAGACACACCUCUGAAUAUUUAAAAUAAAUUAUUCUUAGUUAUUGAUAUGUAUGGAAUCAUGCCAAGGCAUAUAUUUAGUAUUACAACAGAUAAUGUCACAAAAAUGGUGAAAGCAGUGAAGUUAAUGAUUGAGGAUCAGGAAACUGAAGAAGUAGAACAACAAAUUCAGAAUGAAGGGGAAACAAAGAAUUUACUCUUCAGGGAAGAUGCUCAAGAAGAUCCAAGCAUCAUGUCUAAUCUGUAAUCUUAGAUGAAUACUUCUUAAAAAACAAAUGUGGCAACCAAACUCCCUAAGCUGUUUUUAGGGGGAGGGAUAGCUCAGUGGUUUGAGCAUUGGCCUACUACACCCAGGGUUAUGAGCUCAAUCAUUGAGGGAGCCACUUAG